GAUGAACGCUAGCGGCAGGCCUAACACAUGCAAGUCGAGGGGUAACUAGAGUGAUAGCAAUAUUACUUUGGCUAGACCGGCGCACGGGUGCGUAACACGUAUGCAACCUACCUUAUACUGGGGAAUAACUUCGAGAAAUCGGCGCUAAUACCCCAUAACAUUGCGAAGAGGCAUCUCUUUGCAAUUAAAGCUCCGGCGGUAUAAGAUGGGCAUGCGUCCAAUUAGCUAGUUGGUGAGGUAACGGCUCACCAAGGCUACGAUUGGUAGGGGUUAUGAGAGGAUGAUCCCCCACACUGGUACUGAGACACGGACCAGACUCCUACGGGAGGCAGCAGUGAGGAAUAGUGCGCAAUGGACGAAAGUCUGACGCAGCCAUGCCGCGUGCAGGAUGACGGCCCUAUGGGUUGUAAACUGCUUUUGUACGGGAAUAAACCCUUCUACGUGUAGGAGGCUGAAGGUACCGUAAGAAUAAGCACCGGCUAACUCCGUGCCAGCCGCCGCGGUAACAC
rnacentral:rRNA from 1 species